rnacentral:rRNA from 1 species
GACAGAGGUGCCAAGCGUUAGGCGGAAUCACUGGGCUUAAAGCGUGUGUAGGCGGAACGUUAAGUGCCUUGUGAAAUCCCACGGCUCAACCGUGGAACUGCUGGGCAUACUGGCGUUCUUGAGCCAGCCAGGGGUCGUCGGAACAAACGGUGGAGCGGUGAAAUGCGUAGAUAUCUACAGGAACUCCGGUGGCGAAAGCGGCGUGCUGGAUCUCUUCUGACGCUGAGGCUCGAAAGCUAGGGGAGCAAACGGG